rnacentral:rRNA from 1 species
ACCGACAGCAAUAUGAAGGCCAGGCUGAAGACUUUGCCGGAUUAGCUGAGAGGUGGUGCAUGGCCGUCGUCAGUUCGUACUGUGAAGCAUCCUGUUAAGUCAGGCAACGAGCGAGACCCCACGCCCACAGUUGCCAGCGUACUCUCUGGAGUGACGGGUACACUGUGGGGACCGCCGCUGCUAAAGCGGAGGAAGGAAUGGGCAACGGUAGGUCAGUAUGCCCCGAAUAUCCCGGGCUACACGCGAGCUACAAUGGUUGGUACAAUGGGUAUCUACCCCGAAAGGGGACGGGAAUCUCCUAAAACCAAUCUUAGUUCGGAUUGAGGGCUGCAACUCGCCCUCAUGAAGCUGGAAUCCGUAGUAAUCGCGUUUCAACAGAACGCGGUGAAUACGUCCCUGCUCCUU